GACGAACGCUGGCGGCGUGCUUAACACAUGCAAGUCGAACGGAAAGGCCCUGCUUUUGUGGGGUGCUCGAGUGGCGAACGGGUGAGUAACACGUGAGUAAACUGCCCUUGACUUUGGGAUAACUUCAGGAAACUGGGGCUAAUACCGGAUAGGAGCUCCUGCUGCAUGGUGGGGGUUGGAAAGUUUCGGCGGUUGGGGAUGGACUCGCGGCUUAUCAGCUUGUUGGUGGGGUAGUGGCUUACCAAGGCUUUGACGGGUAGCCGGCCUGAGAGGGUGACCGGGCACAUUGGGACUGAGGUACGGCGCAGACUGCUACGGGAGGCAGAAGUGGGGAAUAUUGCACAAUGGGCGGAAGCCUGAUGCAGCAACGUCGCGUGCGUGAUGACGGCCUUCGGGUUGUAAACCGCUUUCGCCUGUGACGAAGCGUGAGUGACGGUAAUGGGUAAAAAAGCACCGGCUAACUACGUG
rnacentral:rRNA from 1 species